GACGAACGCUGGCGGCGUGCUUAACACAUGCAAGUCGAACGGAAAGGCCCUGCUUUUGUGGGGUGCUCGAGUGGCGAACGGGUGAGUAACACGUGAGUAACCUGCCCUUGACUUUGGGAUAACUUCAGGAAACUGGGGCUAAUACCGGAUAGGAGCUCCUGCUCCAUGGUGGGGGUUGGAAAGUUUCGGCGGUUGGGGAUGGACUCGCGGCUUAUCAGCUUGUUGGUGGGGCAGUGGCUUACCAAGGCUUUGACGGGUAGCCGGCCUGAGAGGGUGACCGGCCACAUUGGGACUGAGAUACGGCCCAGACUCCUACGGGAGGCAGCAGUGGGGAAUAUUGCACAAUGGGCGGAAGCCUGAUGCAGCAACGCCGCGUGCGGGAUGACGGCCUUCGGGUUGUAAACCGCUUUCGCCUGUGACGAAGCGUGAGUGACGGUAAUGGGUAAAGAAGCACCGGCUAACUACGUG
rnacentral:rRNA from 1 species